GACGAACGCUGGCGGCGUGCUUAACACAUGCGAGUCGAACGGGAUCCGGGCUUUCGGGUUUGGUGAGAGUGGCGAACGGGUGAGUAACACGUGAGUAACCUGCCCCCUUCUUUGGGAUAACGUCGGGAAAUCGGCGCUAACACUGGAUAUUCUUGCUGCAUCGCAUGGUGUGGUUUGGAAAGGGUUUCUGGUGGGGGAUGGGCUCGCGGCCUAUCAGCUUGUUGGUGGGGUGAUGGCCUACCAAGGCUUUGACGGGUAGCCGGCCUGAGAGGGUGUCCGGCCACACUGGGACUGAGACACGGCCCAGACUCCUACGGGAGGCAGCAGUGGGGAAUAUUGCACAAUGGGCGCAAGCCUGAUGCAGCGACGCCGCGUGAGGGAUGACGGCCUUCGGGUUGUAAACCUCUUUCAGUAUGGAACAAGGAUCCUUCUUUUGGGGGGUUUGAGGGUACGUGCAGAAGAAGCGCCGGCUAACUACGUG
rnacentral:rRNA from 1 species